CAUGGCAACAUGAAUCCUUUUCUUCGAGAAGCCAACAAGAGAUAUCGGAAGAGUUCUCUUUUCUGUUUUACAGUCACACUAGCCAUGGAAGUCUUUCAUAGAGAGAUAUGGUUGGACAGGCUGGUAGAGCAUGGUAUUAAAUUGCUGUGUCGAUAUUCUCUUCUUGGACCUUGAAAAUCGAAG
rnacentral:ncRNA from 1 species